GACGAACGCUGGCGGCGUGCUUAACACAUGCAAGUCGAACGGAAAGGCCCUGCUUUUGUGGGGUGCUCGAGUGGCGAACGGGUGAGUAACACGUGAGUAACCUGCCCUUGACUUUGGGAUAACUUCAGGAAACUGGGGCUAAUACCGGAUAGGAGCUCCUGCUGCUUGGUGGGGGUUGGAAAGUUUCGGCGGUUGGGGAUGGACUCGCGGCUUAUCAGCUUGUUGGUGGGGUAGUGGCUUACCAAGGCUUUGACUGGUAGCCGGCCUGAGAGGGUGACCGGCCACCUUGGGCCUGCGAUACGGCCCAGACUCCUACGGGAGGCAGCAGUGGGGAAUAUUGUCCAAUGGGCGGAAGCCUGAUGCAGCAACGCCGCGUGCGGGAUGACGGCCUUCGGGUUGUAAACCGCUUUCGCCUGUGACGAAGCGUGAGUGACGGUAAUGGGUAAAGAAGCACCGGCUAACUACGUG
rnacentral:rRNA from 1 species